GCGGGAGGGACUGUUUUGUAGAUUGGGAGGGAGAGAGGUAGAGAAUGUGUGAGAGAGAGAGAGAGGGAGGGACUGUUUAGGAGAGAGACCCUGAGCUGCUGACGGCUUCACGAACACCACAGCCACCACCACCACCACCACCACCACACUCUGCUCUGCAGCAUGCGCUGUGCCAUGCUUUGGUGCCGCGCUGGUGAUCGCGCAGCCAGCCGUGGUUAUGGAGAGGAUGCCUAGCUGUCGUGCUCCGGAGCGGAACCUAGAGAGACACUUUCAGGACGACUUUGGCGCAACCUCCCAGCAAGAACAGAGCAAAGGUUAACAAAGCAAACAGGAUCGUCUUUAGAUAUUCCCUUUUGCUCAACGCAUCUGUCCUAAAGAGAAGCUGUUAAUA
ensembl:lncRNA